rnacentral:misc_RNA from 1 species
GUUGAAUUACUGCUCUCUUUUUGUUGCUGACGCUAUUCUCAAUUAAUUGACUAUUACAUUUUUAGUUUUGGAAAAAUGUUAUAGAUGAAUGUUUGUGAACCUCAAAUAUGUGUUAACCAUUCUAUGAUGUCAUAUAAUAAUAGAUUUGCAAUGAUAUCUUCUUGAAUGUUAUUUUGGAAUUGGAUAUUUGCAAUAGAUUUUAUAAACAGGAUGGCAGGCAUUUGUGAAUUCUUCUGGAAAUUGUCGUGGUUCAUUCUCAAUUUAUGUUUGCAAAUAUUCUAACUCUGGUCUGUCUGGAUUAAAAAUAAUACUUUUACUAGUUAGAAUGUUAGAUGAUACAAGCCUGAUGCUGAUAAAUUU